UUAUACUUUAGUAUUAGGUUGGUGCAAAAGUAAUUGCGGUUUUUGCCAUUAAAAGUAAUAGCAAAAACUGCAGUUGCUUUUGCACCAACCUAAAUAUGUCAC
ensembl:miRNA